GCUUGUCUCAAAGAUUAAGCCAUGCAUGUCUAAGUAUAAGCCUUUACACGGUGAGACUGCGAAUGGCUCAUUAAAUCAGAAACUGUUUAUUUGAUAGUGCCUACUACUUGGAUAACCGUAGUAAUUCUAGAGCUAAUACAUGCAAAAAGCCUGGACUUCUGGAACAGGCGUAUUUAUUAGAUGGAAACCAAUGCGGGGCAACCCGGAUUCUGGUGAUUCAUAAUAAUUAUCGGAUCGAUCGUAUGAUCGAUGCAUCAUUCAAGUUUCUGCCCUAUCAGCUUUGGAUGGUAGGGUAUUGGCCUACCAUGGCAUUAACGGGUAACGGAGAAUUAGGGUUCGAUUCCGGAGAGGGAGCCUGAGAAAUGGCUACCACAUCCAAGGAAGGCAGCAGG
rnacentral:rRNA from 1 species